rnacentral:rRNA from 1 species
AAUAACCUGUGCGGAUGACGGUACCGGAAGAAGAAGCACCGGCUAACUACGUGCCAGCAGCCGCGGUAAUACGUAGGGUGCGAGCGUUAAUCGGAAUUACUGGGCGUAAAGCGUGCGCAGGCGGUUUUGUAAGACAGAUGUGAAAUCCCCGGGCUUAACCUGGGAACUGCAUUUGUAACUGCAAGGCUAGAGUACGGCAGAGGGGGGUAGAAUUCCACGUGUAGCAGUGAAAUGCGUAGAUAUGUGGAGGAAUACCGAUGGCGAAGGCAGCCCCCUGGGUCGAUACUGACGCUCAUGCACGAAAGCGUGGGGAGCAAACAGGAUUAGAUACCCUGGUAGUCCACGCCCUAAACGAUGUCAACUAGGUGUUGGGGGAGGAGACUUCCUUAGUACCGCAGCUAACGCGUGAAGUUGACCGCCUGGGGAGUACGGUCGCAAGAUUAAAACUCAAAGGAAUUGACGGGG